AACAUCAAAAGUGAGCGUACCUGACACCACCGUGUUCGAUGUGUCUGCCUCCUGCUGAGCCUGAACAAAGAUCCGAGCCGGAGCUGACGGACCUCCUCUACGGGAACCUGCUGGAGAAGAGGCUGACCCUCUCCCUCUGCCUCGACCACUACCCUGAAACAAGGCUGGAGCUACUGGCUGAGUCACUCUACCUGAAGCCAUCCGCUGAGACUGAGCCAUUCCGGGCGCAGUAGGACACUCACGUGCCAAGUGCCCCUCCUGUCUGCACCUGAAACAGGCUGUCGUCCCUGCCAGACAAACUCCCUUGUGUGGUUUCCCACACCUCGCACAUCUGGACUUACCCGAACCAGAGCUCGAACCACCAAAACC
rnacentral:lncRNA from 1 species